CGAAAAUCCGCCGUUUUCACGACCGGCGUCCGUAUAGUAUUAUAAUGUACGUGUAUAGUAAACUCCCGACAAUAUAACGAACCGUAUUAGAAUUUAUAAUAUGUUUAUACGUCGUACGCGAGGCUGCUGCGACGCGGAAUAUACCGGGGCUGGUGGCUGCUAAUCUGCGCUGGGAAAACGUAUUAUUAUUAUUAUAUCCGCCGGUCCUCGCUAAAUAUUAUACAGUCGGUCGUGUCGGUGUACGUGCUCGACGAUAAUCUGUUUCGUUAAUCGCUGUGAGUUAUUAACAAUGUCUAUAAAUAAGUACGGAUCUACUAUAUUAUACGCUAUUGAAAACGGAAUAUUAAUAUUAACGCGUUUAAAACCGAAAUAAACAGAAGAUAACGACGACGUGGCGAAUCGGUUUCAACGUGUAAGCGUAUAGUCGGGAUGUCGGAUUAUGAUGGGACACAUUUACACUACGAUAAUCAGCACUCAGAAUGAAGGCAGACAGACUCUUUCAAAAAAAAAAAUUCAAGGCCACAAUAUUCAUCUAGAUGAAAUCAUAGUUCAGUAUUGAUUGCUUCGAACAAUAUUACUCAUGGGUACUUCCUCCGAUAGUCUCUGUACACCCGUGAUUCACCUGUAAUUCUUUGCCUGCCAAUCACCAGAACUCUGUACUCAGUGCGAGUACGCCCACCACACCGCCGUAUUGCACUUUGAAAACAG